rnacentral:rRNA from 1 species
UUGGAGGGCAAGUCUGGUGCCAGCAGCCGCGGUAAUUCCAGCUCCAAUAGCGUAUAUUAAAGUUGUUGCAGUUAAAAAGCUCGUAGUUGAAUUUCGGGAUUGGCGCAUCGGUCGUGCCUCACGGGGUAUGAACUGGUGCAGUCAAUUUCUCACCUUCUGGAGAACCGCGAUGUCCUUAAUUGGAUGCCGCGGGGAACCAGGACCUUUACUUUGAAAAAAUUAGAGUGUUUAAAGCAGGCAUUUUUGCUUGAAUACAUUAGCAUGGAAUAAUAAAAUAGGACGGCAUGGUUCUAUUUUGUUGGUUUCUAGGACCACCGUAAUGAUUAAUAGGGAUAGUUGGGGGCAUUAGUAUUCAAUUGUCAGAGGUGAAAUUCUUGGAUUUAUUGAAGACUAACUACUGCGAAAGCAUUUGCCAAGGAUGUUUUCAUUAAUCAAGAACGAAAGUUAGGGGAUCGAAGACGAUCAGAUACCGUCGUAGUCUUAACCAUAAACUAUGCCGAAUAGGAAUCAGGCGAUGUUAAUUUUUUAAUGACUCGUUUGGCACCUUACGGGAAACCAAAGUGUUUGGGUUC